GAACCUACGGGGGGCAGCAGUGGGGAAUAUUGCACAAUGGGGGGAACCCUGAUGCAGCGACGCCGCGUGAAGGAAGAAGUAUUUCGGUAUGUAAACUUCUAUCAGCAGGGAAGAAAAUGACGGUACCUGACUAAGAAGCCCCGGCUAACUACGUGCCAGCAGCCGCGGUAAUACGUAGGGAGCGAGCGUUGUCCGGAAUUACUGGGUGUAAAGGGUGCGUAGGCGGCCUUGCAAGUCAGGCGUGAAAACCAUGGGCUCAACCCGUGGACUGCGUUUGAAACUGUGAGGCUUGAGUGAAGUAGAGG
rnacentral:rRNA from 1 species